rnacentral:misc_RNA from 1 species
UGCAUAAUCCAUGUAAAUACAUGUAAGGUUGAUUGCUAAAUAGCAUGUGCUAUAAUCUGAUCAUGUGACUUUAAUGUAUGUAAACAUACCUGUAGAAAUGUACACAAAGGUCACAGGUUACUGUACAUUAGCCACCUUGAGGAAUGGCCAUAAAGUUUAAAUCAAAUAUUGUAUUCCUACUGGAUUUUUAUACAACAUGGAGAGUGAGAAGGAGAGAAGCUUCCAUUAUAAGAUAUUCAGGAAGUAUUGUAGAAGUGAAAGACAGAACAAGUAUGGCCUGUUGUCACUAGAGAUCAGCCCAGUGAAGAAGGUAGAUACAGGCCACUAUACUGUCACUGCACACAAUAGUGAGGGAGAAGCCACAUGUACAGCUGAAAUAGAUGUUGAUGACAGCAAAGUUGUUGAUGAAUGUGACUAUGAAAGACCAGAGUUCCUAUCCAGGAUACGUCAUACUAUCGCAGAUGAGGGCACCCGGGCUGUCUUUGAGUGCCAAGUUAUUGGACACCCAAUGCCUGAUUUUACAUGGCAAAGGGAUACUUUUGAACUCUUUCCUGAUGAGAAUUUACAAAUGACCUCUAAUCCCCGUGGUUACGCCAAACUUGUUGUACGUGAGUGUGCUAGUACUGAUGCCGGCAUGUACUCUUGUAUUGCUCAUAGUAUUGCAGGUCGGACAAAAUGUUCAGCAUCCCUUAGAGUUCUUGAGAAAUCAGGCUACACAGGUAAAGGAAUGGUAAUGAAAGGCAAUCGGGAAUCUCUAAGCUUUUCCAGACGUCCUCUGGACUCCAGCUAUUCUAGUCACUCUUACAGUAAUAGAUCCCAUGAAUCCACCCCCGAGCGAAAUGACACCACAGCACGAACCCACAGAUCCACUGAAUCUUCCCCCGAGCAUAUGGACGUCACAAGACCAUUACGGGAAAUACAACACAGCAAUCUCAGUCAUCAAAACUAUGAAAUGAAAUCUGAAUCACAAAAACCUACUGCGCCAAUGUUUGCUCAAAUGUUACCAGAGACUUUCGAGGCUAAGGAAGGAGAGAAUGUUAUGCUUAGUGUUCGUAUACAUGGUGACCCACUUCCUUCAGGUAAUGCUUAUAACCAGUGGUUGACAUUCCCUAGUCAAUCUAGCCCUGGGUCUAGUAUAAGGAACCCCCUCCCAAGACAGGUGUAUGCAAUUGAGGGCCAGGCGCUACUUCUAAGUGUAAGGGUCCUUGGGGGACCUUAUCACAAAGUAACAUGGCAUAAAGGUGCUAGAGAUCUACAAUUUAGCAGUAGGCACAGAAUUUUUCAUGAAGGUGACACCCACCGCCUGCAGAUAGAUGAAUGCCUAGUUACCGAUGCUGGGCAAUAUACUGCCAUGGCAACAGGACCAGAUGGUGACCAGCAGGAAACUACUGCCCAUGUACAUAUCACUGCCCAUCCUGCACACUCACAAGAUGAGAUAUUGUAUGUUCCACAUCUGAAUGGCGAUACAGGAGACCAUGAUCAUGUGCAUCAACACUCACUUGAUCAUCAAUCCAACAGAAAAUAAAGACUUUCAAUAUAACACUCUUUUCUAAUUUAGUUUAACAAAAAUUAACAAUGUGUGUUUAAUUAUUUAUACCUUUGUACUAUUUCAUUCUUAUACAAUUUUCUUAUAUUUUUUUUUCUUGUAUAUACGAGGAGUGAUCAAUAAGUUAUAGACGCUUUAAAAACAAUUAUCCAUUUUAGGUUCUUUUUAAUAUUUUACAACCAUGGACUAUAUUCUCUGCUUUUUAGCCUUACAAUACAAAAAGAGAGGUACAUUUUUUUAUUUGUAGCACAGCAAAUUAGAUACCAUUUUCAAGCAUUUCAUUUUGCAUCUUAAGAAAGAACUUCAUCUGCUUUAAUAGUAGUAAACACUUCAAGCAUUUGAACAUCAGGAUUUGAAUUAGCUAUUUAGUUGUUUUAAUUUUUUCAUUAUGGGCCAUGAUUGUUAUUCUCAUCAAAUGUCUUCAGAACAGAACAUCAGUGACUUGAUAUAUUUGAUGUCACCAAACAUUAGAACAAUGUGGUAUAUGGGUCACUAUAAAUGAUAUGACAGCCUGUCUGUGCUCCAUACAUUAUCUGUGUAGACAUUGUAAAUCUUAUUAUCACUUAUUUAAUCUACUCAGCAUUAUUUACGAUUGAACCUGCUUGAACUUCUUAAUAUUUUCUACAGAUUAUGAUUUAAUCUCUUUUUUAGUCACUUAUAUGUAUAGCUUUUACUUUGAACUAAAUUAAUACACAUAGUACUCUUUGCUGCAAAUUCAAUCUAUAGCCUCCAGUAUAUUAAAAAUACAAGCAUGUUUCUAAAAAAGUAACACGAAAAAUUAACUAACUAAACUAAUUUUGCACGAAAGCAUGACCUUGCAUGCUGCUCACUAGGAGAAUGUCAUCAGAUGCAGUUUCUCAUUUAAAAGCACCAACAUUUGUGACAGAAUUACCAAAAAAUGUUCAGAUAUUGGAAGGAAGCUCAGUUAGACUGGACUGUCGAAUAUUUGGACGGCCUGACCCAGAAAUAACAUGGAUGCAUGAUGGGAAAGAGCUUGAAGAAAGUAGAAAAUAUAAGACAGAGUUUGCGGGAGAGGAUGGUGUUUCAUUGGUCAUUACUGAGGCAACCAUAGACGAUGGUGGUACAUAUCUCGUGAGAGCUGACAAUCGUAAAGGCUCCGUCACCAGCACAACAAAACUCAUUGUACACUCUAUUGACGAUGUUGGACUCUCAACAAAAGAUGACACAGAAGAAACACUUUCAAAGAAACCAAGACGCCAGCGACAAACGGGCAAAGACCAAACAGAUAAUAAAAACACUAUCAAAUUAACAAAACCAGAAUUCUUGCUUCGCCUUCGUAAUAAGACCGCUAAGGUUGAUGAUGUUGCCAAAUUAAGUGUUAAAGUAGAGGGAGAUCCAGUUCCUAGUAUUACUUGGUAUAAAGAUGAUGAAGAGAUCACUCAGGAGAGUGGAGAUGGAAAGUAUGAGAUAUUCAAUGAAGGCAACAUUUAUAACCUUGAAGUGUAUGACACGGAUAUAGGAGACCAUGGCCAAUACUCAUGUACAGUGCAAAACCUACAUGGAUCAGAUACUUCCAAAUGCCAGCUAGUCAUAGAGGAUGAUGAGAAGUCCCAUUAUGAGAUUCCAAGUUUCCCGAAGCCUUUGCGUGACAGUUCUGUGGUUGAGGGAGACACAGCAGUCUUCAAAUGUAAAGUGAAAGGAACACCAGAGCCAGAAGGAAGAUGGAUGAAAGAUGGUAAAAAACUCCGUCCAAGUCGCAACCACAAGAUGGAGAUCUUAGAAGAUGUGUAUUCACUUGUGAUAUCACACGCAUGUAUAGAUGAUGAAGGCCAGUAUACAUUUACAGCCACUAGUCCUGCAGGAACCAACUCCUGCGCUGGAUUCCUGACUGUUGAGGGAUCAGGGAAAGAAAACAACAGUGUGUUAAGUGUCAAGGACCUUAAAGCUACUGGAAAGAAAAAGAAAGGAGCAUACAAGGCCCCCCAGUUCCUGAGAGAUUUGCAGCCAAUGACAAUAGAGGAGGGGAAGACAAUCCAACUGAAGUGUCGUGUAGAGCAAGACCCAAAGAUAGAGGUCUACUGGAUUAAAGAUGGCCAAGUUGUUGAGGAGAGUGACAGAAUCCACCUCGAGACUGAGAGAAACGGCAGUCGUAUUUUAGAGAUUAAGAGAUCUACACAAGCUGACACUGGGCUCUAUGCUUGUGUGGCAAAAAACUCUGAGGGAGAGAGCAUUGUAUCAACCACUCUAGAAGUCACUGAAUCUACAGGUGCAGGUACAGGAAACGAUACAGAAGUUGAAUCUAAUGAGCAAGGUGAAGAGAUGUCCUCUCAGUAUAGAUCAACAUACAGAUCUGCCAGGUCUGCCAGAGAACCAACUCCGGAAAAGCCGGCACUUUUACGUAAACUAAGAGAUAAGACUGCAAGUGAGGGAGGCUCCAUAACUUUCGAAACUAAACUUUUAAGAGGAACACCUAAACCAGACGUCACAUGGCUCAAGGAUGGAAAAGAAAUAUCAAAUGAUGAUCACUACCAGAUGACCUAUGAUGGUGAGACGUGCUGGUUGAAUGUCAAGUCACUGUCCAGUGCUGAUGAUGGGGAGUACUCUUGUACAUUGACCAACUCUGAGGGCUCAGUUAAAACUGCAUGUCAUCUCAUGGUGGAAGGUGCAAGUAAAUAUGGCAGAGGUAGCAGCAAAACCAGUAAAGUCAGGGCUCAAAAGCCUGAGUUUAUUAUAAAGCCAAGAAGACAGUUUGUUGAUGAAGACCAAGCUGCAAAGUUUAAGGCAUCAUUUGAAGGCUCACCUACACCUACCAUACAAUGGUCUAAAGGAGGGAAUGUCAUAGAAGAAAGUGAUAAAUAUAAGUUAUAUGAGUUGAGAGACUACCACUUCCUUGAGAUCAAGGAUUGCAGCAUAGAGGACCAAGGAGAGUAUCUGUGUACCAUCACUAAUGACUCUGGGAAAGAUGAACAGAAGGCAAAGUUAGAAGUAUAUGAAAAGCCAAAGCCUAAGAUGUCAAGCCGAGUAAAGAAAGUUGCCCCUGAGUUUGAAAGUAAACUCUCCCAUAUGACAGUAAAAGAGGGAGAGAGCGUCACACUGGAAUGUACGGCAAUAGGUACCCCAGAGCCAACAAUGAAGUGGUAUAAAGAUGGCAACAUAUUGAAAUCAUCAACUGAUUUCAAACAAACUUUCGAUGGAAAAACUGCAAAACUAGUCAUAAAUGAAAUACUGACUGAGGAUGCUGGGAAAUAUGAAUGUCUUGCGAUAAAUAAUGUUGGUGAAAAUAGGACGUAUUGCCGGGUCAAAGUCGAAGAGGUUAAGAAGAAAGGGGUACCACCUACCCUUGAAGGGACCCUCUCUGAUCAAACUGUCACUGAUGGUGAUACUGUCAUCUUGGAGUGUAAUGUAACUGGUGAUCCCAAGCCAGAUGUAAAAUGGAUGCAUGAUGGUAAACCAAUCAAAUCAACUGAAGAUUUCAAGAUAUCCUAUGAUGGGACUGUUGCAAAACUUGAGAUAAUGGAAGUUUUUCCAGAGGAUUCAGGAGAAUACUGUUGCAUAAUUUCAAACUCUGCUGGAGAGGUCAAAACCUCUUCUCACAUAGUUGUAGAAGAAAAAGCUAAGGCUAAGAAGAAAGGACCGGAGAAAAGAGCCCCAUAUUUUAUUCAAGAGUUCGAACCUGAAUAUGAAGUGAUGGAUGGGACAACAGUAGAGUUGAUAGUCAGGAUAGGAGGCACUGCUCCUUUGGAUGUAAUCUGGCUGCACAACAAUAAAGAGAUCAAGAAGAGCUCUGACAUAUAUAAGCUAACUAGCCAAGGGGAUACAUAUAAGCUUCAGAUGGAGGAAGUGUUCCCUGAGGAUGCUGGUAGUUGGGUGUGUGAGGUCUACAAUGAUGUAGGGGAUGUUGAUACUGCAUGUAAACUUAUUGUUAAAGAAGAAGAAAGUGCACCCACCCCAGCACCCACCAAACCAACACCCACCAAAACAACACCCACAAAACAAAUGCCCACCAAAGUAUCUCCAGCUAAGACAGAUAUAAACAGCAACCCACCAGUGCCUGAGUCUGGUUCUCAAGAUGAUGGAUUUGAAGAAACAGUUUCACCAGAGUUCAUACGCAAGCCACGCUCACUGGAUAUCGAUGAAGGGACAUGUGCCAAGUUCACCUGUCAAGUAGAUGCUGCUCCUAUGGCAACUAUGGUAUGGUCCAAGGAUGGCAAACCUGUAGAAGAUAGCGCAAGAAUUAAGAUCUAUGAUGAUGGUAUUGACACAUACACACUGGAGAUUCCCCACUGUCUCUCCACAGAUGAGGGUCGCUAUGCCUGUGUAGCUACUAACUUUGAGGGAUCAGAUAAGUGCAGUUUUGGCCUGAAAGUGAGACCUUUACAGGAUGGACCAGUUGAUUUCAGAGAUCUCCUUAAAUCAAAACCUGGAUUAAAGAUCCUAACAUCAGGGGAGAGUACGGAAUCAGAACCGCAGGAGAAAGAACCAGAACAAUUGGACUUCCGCCACAUGCUCAAACGUCAUGUAAAAACCAAGAAAAAGCCUGAGUUUCUCACAAAUUUGGAAGAUGUACGAGUCAACGAUGGUGAUGUUCUCAUCCUUGAGUGUAAAGUUGAAGGCAUUCCUGAACCUGAUAUAAAGUGGUACUUUGGUAAAGAGGAGCUGAAGGAGGGUGAUUUCACGAUGAGCUAUGAUAAGACUGUUGCUCAUUUGGAGUUGGAUGAGACACUACCUGAGGAUGCAGGGGAAUACAUAUGUGUAGCAACCAAUGAAACUGGCUCUACUCAACAAUCUUGCGAUGUUAGAGUCAGAUCCACAAGCGAGAUCAGUGAGAAUGGCAGCAGCAUUGGCAGCACAGCAAGCAGUACAAGGUCAUCACCAUCUAAGACAGCAUCUGAGGAGAGAGACACUAACGCUGUACAGCUAGACUUCAGAAAUGUAUUGAAGAAUAAAGUUAAGACAAAGAAGAAGCCAGAAUUUAUAAGCAGACCGAGGGAUGAAGUUGUAAAAGAGGGGAGUAGUGUAACAUUUGAGUGCAAGGUUAAUGGAAUACCACCGCCAGAUGUGACCUGGUUCUUUGGAAAAAAGGAAAUCAAGGAAUCAAAGUAUUUCCAUAUGAGUUACAUUAACGAAGUAGCCAAGCUAGAAAUUAGUGAGUCAUUCCUGGAAGAUGAGGGAGAGUAUAUAUGUAAAGCAACCAAUGAAUCUGGCAGUGUACAGGAAACAUGUGAUCUCAUGGUGGAUGAAUUGGGGUCAGAUGAAGAGACAGGGGGCACCACUAACAGCUCCGAGGUGAUGGGAGAUGAUGCAGUGGCUCCAAAGAUUAUGGCCAGACCAGAAGACCUGGCUGUAUUAAAAGGAACCAAGAUACACCUUCAGUGUGGAUUCAGUGGGGACCCAAGGCCUACUGUGACAUGGUUGAAGAAUAGAACUACUCUACAGUCAGAUGAUCUAGUGAAUAUAGAGACUAUGCGUGAGACCAGCAGUUUGACUGUGAAAAAGGCUGCUCAAGAGGACAGUGGUCAAUACACAGUAAAAGUACAGAACUCACUAGGAGAGGAUAGUGCUGAUGUCUCUGUUACAGUGGAAGAUGUUCCAGAGCCACCUGCAGGAUCUCCCUUUGCCUCCAAUACAACAACAACUAGCACCAACCUUUGCUGGUAUGGCCCUGCCUAUGAUGGGGGCUCCCAGGUCCUUUGCUACAGAGUGGAACUGUGUAAAGUGAAGGAUAUGAAAUGGAAGACACUCACUUCAAAGUGUGAGCACACUACAUACAAUGUAAAGAACUUAGAGCCUGAAACAGAGUAUCUGUUUAGAGUUAGCGCGGAGAACAAACAUGGUUUCAGUGAACCUUGUAAAACAUCAGAUAAAGUCUUCACAUCUGAUGGUGCACCAUUGGAUGAUGAUACAGCCAAAAAGAAAGACCAGGCUGUAAUUACAAGAAAGAAGUCUAAAAAAGUGGAAGAUUCCUUGCCAUUUGAGCCACAAGAGGUUGAGAUUUCAAAAGAAAGAAAACUUACAGAUUUUUAUGAACUGAAAGAGGAAAUAGGAAAGGGUAGAUUUGGCAAUGUCCACCGGUGCAUUGAAAAGUCUACUGGAAAGGAGUAUGCAGCUAAACUGAUUAAACUAAAGGCAACCACUAACAAGGAGGAUGUCAGACAAGAGAUUGAGUUGAUGAACCUUCUACAUCAUCCCAAGCUACUGUUGCUGAAGGAUGCCUUUGAGACCAGGAGAGAGCUGGCCCUUGUCAUGGAGCAUAUUGGGGGAGGUGAACUAUUUGAACGAAUCAUCGAGAAUGACUUUAUCACAGAAAAAGAUGGCGUUCAUUACAUCCGCCAGAUUUGCGAAGGUGUUAAAUACAUGCACACUCAAAGUGUUUUACAUCUGGACUUAAAACCUGAAAAUGUUCUCUGUGUCAAUAAGAACAGUACUCAGAUAAAGCUUAUAGACUUUGGCCUUGCUAGGAAAUAUGACCCUAAAGAGAAUUUAAGGGUUAUGUUUGGUACACCUGAGUUUGUCGCCCCUGAAGUGAUCAAUUAUGAAGAAGUUGGACCUGCCACUGAUAUGUGGAGUGUAGGAGUCAUCUGUUAUGUCUUGUUGUCUGGUUUAUCACCCUUCAUGGGGGACAAUCCAUCUGAAACAUUUGUUAAUGUCACCAAGGCACAGUUUGACUUUGAGGAUGAACAGUUUGAUGAACUCAGUCAGGACGCUAAAGAUUUUAUAGAAAAACUUCUAGUCAAAAGUACAAAAGAAAGAAUGAAGGCUGAUGAUGCUUUGGGACACCCUUGGUUAGCUCAAGAUACGAAAACCAUGAAAUCCAACAAACUUAGUACAAAGAAACUCAAAGCUUUCCUAGCUCGCAGAAAAUGGCAGAAAACCGGCAAUGCAAUCCGGGCGUUGGGCCGCAUGGCUUCACUCCAGAAAUCUCUAUCUAACGGCAAUCUAAAACCUGCACUAAAUGGCAGCUCUAACAUCCAGUCUACUCAGUCUUUAUCUGAAUUGCAGCGGGAAAAAGACAGGUUAAAAAUACGAGAAGUUGACUCUGAGGCUAUGCCUGAGCCUCAAAUGAAACUCUCAGAGCCAAUAUUUACUGAAAAACUUCCCUCAGAACCUAUUAAGGUUCAAGAGGGGGACGUAUGUAAACUAGAGGUAAAGGUUUGUGGUGAACCAACACCUGAUGUCCAGUGGUUUAAAGAUGGUACUAAACUCAAGCGUAGUAGACAUUAUGUUACGGACAGUGAUGGGGACACCUUUUCAUUGACCAUACAAAGUGCAACAAUCGAUGAUGACGCGGAAUACCGAUGUAAAGCAAUAAAUUCUGAAGGAGAAGCAGAGUGUUUCUCAGAACUCUAUGUUGAAUCUUCAGGUACUACAAAGUAAACUUUAUGCAUGGAGUGAAUUUGUUGGACAAUACCUGUUUGUCACCCCUCAUGUUUUGGACUGUUGAAUAGUUCUACAUCAAAACGUAAGGGGUGACAGGAUUUAGAGACAAUGUAUUUUUGAUAGGGGUGUUACCUUAAUGAACUAAAACAGUUGAAUAUUCAUUUAGGAAACUGCAUGCUUUUGUUAUUAAUAGUUAUAUUUGUUCAUUUUAUUAAUUAGUUAUUGAUUUAUAUGUUAUUUUGGUUGUAAUUUGGGUGAUUAUAUCAUUGCUUAUGAUGAAACAUGUCUACAAAGACCCUCACUUGCCAGAUUAUGUUCUGGCAAUUUUGUAGGUUUGUUUCAUUUAAUGUCUCAACUAAUUAUGUCACCCAAAUAAUAGCCACAUUUUUGAGAUCAAUAGUGACCUGUUAUUAGAUAAUAGUGCUUGUUGAAUAGCAUAACGUAUUUGCUCUUAAGUUACAAAUUACAAAGUGUUAUAUUGCAUGAUAUUUUAACUGUGUCAUUGCAAAUAACAAUAUGAGUAAUUUGUUAUAUAUAGCUUUAAGUAUUUUAUUUGUAAAUUUUGUUAUUGAUUCCUGUGUUCAUGUAAUGAGAUUGCAGUAAAGCCUAUAGGAUAAAGCACAGACAAGAAUAUUAUCUGAAUUAUCUAUCAUCAAAGCCAGCGCAUAACUAUAUCAUUGUAACGGUACUGAUAAUUAUAGGUUUCACUAUUCAUGAUUAGGUAGUUAUCAAUAGAAAUACUAAGAAAUAUAUGCUGCAUUUUAAUUUUAAUAUUUACUGUAAUUUACACUAUGACUUUAUGCAGUAUUAUUACCAGAAUGUUAUAGUGUGUCAAUCAUGACAUUGUGUCUGGUAUUUUGGAAUGACACAUUGUGUCAGCUAUUUCAUGAUGACAUAUUAUGUCAAUUAUUUUAUGGUGACGCAUUAUGUCAGCUACUUCAUGGUGACACAUUAUGUCAGCUACUUCAUGGUGACACAUUAUGUCAGCUACUUCAUGGUGACAUAUUAUGUCAGCU